GGCAAUUGGGAUUUUUGCUCAAUAGUUUCACUUUCCUCUUCCAUUCGCAAUUGAGAUUUUUGCUUUUUGGUUUCCAUUUUAAACCUCUUUUGCUUAUCAUUCUUCAAUGAACUAAGUUUUUCUUUCAUGCUUAGAGAUAAAAUAUGAGAUAACUUCACAAAAAGAGAAUAAGAAGUUUUCUAGGGUUUGGGAAUGAAAGAGGGGAUGGGAGGUGGGAAGUUUUCUAGGGUUUGGGAAUAAUAGACGAGAAUUUUUCUAGGGUUUGUGAAAGAAAGAUGAGGAGUCCAUUCUAUACACCUAAAAGAAGAGAAUGAAG
rnacentral:lncRNA from 1 species